UACAGAGGGUGCGAGCGUUGUCCGGAAUCACUGGGCGUAGAGGGCGCGUAGGUGGCGCUCCAAGUCUGUGGUGAAAGCUCGAUGCUCAACAUCGAGUCGGCCAUAGAGACUGGAGGGCUCGAGCACUGUAGGGGCAGAUGGAAUUCCGGGUGUAGCGGUGGAAUGCGUAGAGAUCCGGAAGAACACCGGUGGCGAAGGCGGUCUGCUGGGCAGUUGCUGACACUGAGGCGCGACAGCGUGGGGAGCAAACAGG
rnacentral:rRNA from 1 species